GGGUCCGCACCGGUUUCGACAGGCUGGCGAAAGCUACUCUGUGAUUCAGGUCGAGAGUGAGUCAUCUCUCGUAAAUCCAAGGCUCAAAAAAAAAGUAAAUGCGAACAACAUCGUAAAAUUUGCUCGUAAGGAAGCUGCUGUAGCAGUUGCCUAAAAACCUCUAACGGUUCGAGCGCUUCUAGUCUGACUCCGUUAAGGGCUAGGGGCAAACCCCAACGGAUGCGUUAACAAGUUUCCUCUGGUAGGCUUGUUGACAAAGACUUCACCAGAGAAUCCUACCGUUCGGGAUAAUGAACGUUCCCCGCCUUGAGGGUAAGAAAGGCUAAACCUGUGAAUGAGCGGAGGGUCAAUACCCAGUUUGGACAGCAGUUCGACUCUGCUCGGAUCCAC
rnacentral:tmRNA from 1 species